rnacentral:rRNA from 1 species
AUACGUAGGGUGCGAGCGUUGUCCGGAAUUACUGGGCGUAAAGAGCUCGUAGGUGGUUUGUCGCGUCGUCUGUGAAAUUCCGGGGCUUAACUCCGGGCGUGCAGGCGAUACGGGCAUAACUUGAGUACUGUAGGGGAGACUGGAAUUCCUGGUGUAGCGGUGAAAUGCGCAGAUAUCAGGAGGAGCACCGGUGGCGAAGGCGGGUCUCUGGGCAGUAACUGACGCUGAGGAGCGAAAGCAUGGGUAGCGAACAGGAUUAGAUACCCUGGUAGUCCAGGCCGUAAACGGUGGGCGCUAGGUGUAGGGGUCUUCCACGACUUCUGUGCCGUAGCUAACGCAUUAAGCGCCCCGCCUGGGGAGUACGGCCGCAAGGCUAAAACUCAAAUGAAUUGACGGGG